CCUACGGGUGGCAGCAGUGAGGAAUAUUGCUCAAUGGGCGAGAGCCUGAACCAGCCAAGUAGCGUGAAGGAUGACUGCACUACGGGUUGUAAGCUUCUUUUGUAAAGGAAUAAAGUGAGGCACGUGUGCCUUUUUGUAUGUACUUUAUGAAUACGGAUCGGCUAACUCCGUGCCAGCGGCCGCGGUAAUACGGAGGUACCGAGCGUUAUCCGGAUUUAGUGGGUGUAAAGGGAGCGUAGAUGGGUUGUUAAGUCAGUUGUGAAAGUUUGCGGCUCAACCGUAAAAUUGCAAUUGAGACUGGAAGUCUUGAGUGCAGUUGAGGUAGGUGGAAUUCGUGGUGUAGCGGUGAAAUGCUUAGAUAUUACGAAGAACUCCGAUGGCGAAGGCAGCUUACUAAACUGCCACUGACAUUGAUGCUCGAAAGUGUGGGUAUCAAACAGGAUUAGAUACCCCAGUAGUC
rnacentral:rRNA from 1 species